CCUAUUCUCUGCGGAAAAGGCGCGGUCUACAGCGAACACUAGUUAGCGAUGGCUGCCAAUUGCAAGCGUGCUUUUCCACUUUGCUACCUGGUGAAUCCAUAAUUUCAGCUGCAUUUCUAAUUGUAAUUAAUUGUGAAAAUUAGUGUCUCAAUUUAGUGGCAGCAUGUGGAAAUUUCGAAUCAAGAAUAGCAGCUAAUUACGUUUCGGCGUGUGUUGCUCAAUGCUUGGACCUGCACAAAGAAGAACCUCAGUGCAAAUUUAGUUUGACAAAAGCAAUUUCAACGGGUCCCAAGGAUGAUUGCACAAGGUGUGUCCGCGAUUUUAAGAAAAACAAUGUCAACUCUCUAAGGUCACUACAAACCUUAAUUAAAUCUAGGUCGGUGCCGAUGUGUGGAAAAAAUAUGUCAUUAUCAACCGUUGUGCCGAUGGACAACGACUUCACCGAUUUGUUGUGCGGUGUGGCGAACAAGGCAAGACGACAGUGGUAUCCAAAAUCUUCAAGCGAGAUAAAAUGCAUCAUCGAAAAAUUGCCAUCGGACUACACCAAAUCGGGACGACUCCGGUUGCAGGCGCAGCGAACAAAUUGCAGCAAAGAAUUCUAUUUCUGCGGACACGAUUUCUCCGAGCCGCUUGUCGGGGACUUCGUCUGGGCUGCGAACUCGAGCGAUAUGAGCAGUUUUACGGACAGAGCGUGCCUUUCUGUAGAGUACAAGUUGGAGAAAAAGAUUUGUGUUUCGUAUCAACUCAAGCCUGUUGACUGCGCUGAAAAAUUCCCAAUGGUGUGCGAAACGAAUGAUUAAUAAAUCUGCAGGUUUCAGCAUUUUAAUUUUAACCAAAAAUGUUCAGUUGAAAUUGAGAGCAAAAUAAACUGUAUGAAUUUCUUAAU